UACGGGGGGGGCAAGCGUUGUUCGGAAUUACUGGGCGUAAAGGGCUCGUAGGCGGCCAACUAAGUCAGACGUGAAAUCCCUCGGCUUAACCGGGGAACUGCGUCUGAUACUGGAUGGCUUGAGUUCGGGAGAGAGAUGCGGAAUUCCAGGUGUAGCGGUGAAAUGCGUAGAUAUCUGGAGGAACACCGGUGGCGAAGGCGGCAUCCUGGACCGAUACUGACGCUGAGGAGCGAAAGCCAGGGGAGCAAACGGG
rnacentral:rRNA from 1 species